rnacentral:snRNA from 1 species
AGCUUUGCGCAGUGGCAGUAUCAUAGCCAAUGAGGUGAAUCCGAGGUGUGAUUAUUGCUAUUUGAAAACUUUUCCCAAUACCCCGCCGUGAUGGCUUGAAACAUAGUCAGCAUUGGCAAUUUUUGACAGUCUCUUGUGGGA